rnacentral:rRNA from 1 species
AUGAACGCUGGCGGCGUUCCUAAUACAUGCAGGUCGAGCGAACAGACGAGGAGCUUGCUCCUCUGACGUUAGCGGCGGACGGGUGAGUAACACGUGGAUAACCUACCUAUAAGACUGGGAUAACUUCGGGAAACCGGAGCUAAUACCGGAUAAUAUAUUGAACCGCAUGGUUCAAUAGUGAAAGACGGUUUUGCUGUCACUUAUAGAUGGAUCCGCGCCGCAUUAGCUAGUUGGUAAGGUAACGGCUUACCAAGGCAACGAUGCGUAGCCGACCUGAGAGGGUGAUCGGCCACACUGGAACUGAGACACGGUCCAGACUCCUACGGGAGGCAGCAGUAGGGAAUCUUCCGCAAUGGGCGAAAGCUUGACGGAGCAACGCCGCGUGAGUGAUGAAGGUCUUCGGAUCGUAAAACUCUGUUAUUAGGGAAGAACAAAUGUGUAAGUAACUAUGCACGUCUUGACGGUACCUAAUCAGAAAGCCACGGCUAACUACGUG